CUAUUACCGUGUCAACAACCGCCCUUUAAAGAAAAUAGAUAUCUACAUCAGGAUGCAUUGGGAUGUUCUCUCUCGGUGAAUUGAGACUAGGGUAACGUGUUUUGCUUGUUGAUCUGUUAGUUUUUUUGUGUAUGUGCGUAAAGAUAUAUUAUACUGCUCUUCUUUAUUUUUUUUUAAAGAGGUCUAAAACGUAUCUUAAAAGUUUUUUGAAUUCUAUGAAAUUGUACAUGGUAUUUGUGGAUGAUAAUGCAUUAAAGAUGGAGUGAUAGGGAAUUAAAGGUGAAUUAGAUAGUAAUUACCAAUAUGACAGGCUAGUCAAGAUAUGAAAAAAUGGAAGUGAGGAUAAAAUCAAGCAAAAUUUAAAGUUAAUGGAGAAUCUUUCUCAUCUUUUCUGGCUAUUCUGAAUUUAAAAAUUAAAAUCUACAAGUCACACAUGAAAAAAGAAAGAAAUUUAGUCAGCAAUUUUCAAACAAGAAUUGGAUUGUUUAAUUUCAUACUACCACAAUUAAAAGAGUCUACAUGUAUUCAUAUUUGAACGAUAAACACAGUUCUUAAUCUCAUUAUCUCUUCGCACAGUUAAUACAAGAUAACACAAAGAUCAAAUUCUAACACGAUACAUAGAAUCCCAAAAAUAUGAGCUGUACAACUUUAGAAAAUGUUCAAGUUAAGUUUAAGAUCUUUAUCAAAAUACAAGACAAAAAUUACUAUUAGGUGAGGUAUUGACACAAAGGUUUCAGAGAAGCAUGGAUUAUUUAUGAUGAAUUUUAUAAAUAUAAGAAUUUAUGAGGAAUUCAAAGACACUUGAAACACAGUAAUAAAGAUUAACCCCUCCAAUUCUGAUUUAUGGUACAGGUGUACCUGAAUUCAAGCAAGAUCCUAAAAAGAAAUAACAUGGAGAAAGUUGUUAAGAACAAAAACUACUUG